rnacentral:rRNA from 1 species
UACAUGAAGCUGGAAUCGCUAGUAAUCGCAGAUCAGAAUGCUGCGGUGAAUACGUUCCCGGGUCUUGUACACACCGCCCGUCACACCAUGGGAGCCGGGAAUGCCCGAAGUCGGUGACCCAACCGUAAGGAGGGAGCCGCCGAAGGCAGGCCUGGUAACUGGGGUGAAGUCGUAACAAGGUAGC